CUAGACGAACCGUUGGCUACCUUAGUAAAAGACGCCAUUUCAACUAAAAUGACGGCUAGUGUACAAACUAGUCAAGAAUCUACUUGAAAGAUAAAAUAGUUGGAUAGUUUAUAAACGUUUCUGGCUAAUAAUGAAAACCGUACUUUCUCGUAACACAAAAAAUCAAAUGCUUUAGUUAGUUGACAAACUAACCAACUCGCUGGCUGGUGGCUAACUUAAUAAAUAUACUGAGGUUAUGUGAUCUUUUUAUUUUUGAUUUUAUAAAUCAACCCAACCAACCCUCGGUGCUUCUGGCAACUUGGACUUAAAAUGAUUAAAAUUCGAAUGUAAUUUUCUAUUCUUUUAAGUAAAUUAGCUAAUAUCCUGUGGCUAGUAAUAAUAAAAAGUUGCAAAAGCUCAAGCUCCACCCCUUACCAGACUUUCUCCACCACUAUAAGUAAAAGAAAUAACAGCCCCAAAUUUCAUUUCUCCUGCUAGCUUUAAAGAAAAACAACUCAAAAAAUUUCGUUACCGAUUAUCACCGCUAAGUGUGACCAAACCAUCUCCUAAACAAAAUGGCAGCUGUAAACAAAGCACAGAUAAUGGCGGCAAUGGAAUGCCCUGUGUGCUACGACAUUCUGCGCCCCCCAAUCCACCCCUGCAACCAAGGACACCCAAUUUGCGGAGACUGUCGGCAACAGAUGGAAAGGCUGAGCCAAAAUGUGUGCUGUCCGCUUUGUCGGAGCGGAUAUUCCUUGCCUCCAUCUCACAUUUUGGAGGCAAUCUACAACAGCCUGAGGGUCAGCUGUAGAUUUAAUGCUGGGAGGUGCAGACAUGUCUGCUGGGGCAAGGACAUGAAGAUCCACGAACAAAAAUGCAAGUUUGGUCCCAGGACUUGCCCAAAGAGAAAUCAAGGUUGUUUGUGGAUUGGACCACUGACCAUGCUUGCUAAGCAUUGCAUUGAAAAUCAUUGUCCAAGCGUAAAUUAGGUAGUGUAGUUGUUGUAAAUAGUGUAUAGAUAGUGAUAGAAAAUUGUAAAUAGUUGUAGUCUAGAGAUAAG